rnacentral:rRNA from 1 species
AACGGGUGAGUAACACGUGGGUGAUCUGCCCUGCACUUCGGGAUAAGCCUGGGAAACUGGGUCUAAUACCGGAUAUGACCGAGAACUGCAUGGUUUUCGGUGGAAAGGUUUACUGGUGCAGGAUGAGCCCGCGGCCUAUCAGCUUGUUGGUGGGGUAAUGGCCUACCAAGGCGACGACGGGUAGCCGGCCUGAGAGGGCGACCGGCCACACUGGGACUGAGACACGGCCCAGACUCCUACGGGAGGCAGCAGUGGGGAAUAUUGCACAAUGGGCGAAAGCCUGAUGCAGCGACGCCGCGUGAGGGAUGACGGCCUUCGGGUUGUAAACCUCUUUCAGCAGGGACGAAGCGCAAGUGACGGUACCUGCAGAAGAAGCACCGGCCAACUACGUGCCAGCAGCCGCGGUAAUACGUAGGGUGCGAGCGUUGUCCGGAAUUACUGGGCGUAAAGAGCUCGUAGGCGGUUUGUCGCGUCGUCUGUGAAAACCCGCAGCUCAACUGCGGGCUUGCAGGCGAUACGGGCAGACUUGAGUACUGCAGGGGAGACUGGAAUUCCUGGUGUAGCGGUGAAAUGCGCAGAUAUCAGGAGGAACACCGGUGGCGAAGGCGGGUCUCUGGGCAGUAACUGACGCUGAG